UUUCAAAUUGGGUUAGGCAAUUCCUUCAUUGUGUUCUAUUCCAUGCCCGAUGUGUUCGAGUUUUGUCAAUGUUUUUGUGAUUGUCAAAUGUUUUGUUCUUUCUCAUUGUUCAUUUUUUUUUGGCUCAGGUGUUUGUUUUGUUUGGUGGUGUACAGCGUGCACGCUGGUUUUUCUGGUUUUUUUCGUUCAGGCGUUUGUUUUGUUUGGUGGGGUUCAUUGUUUUUUCAAUUUUUUUUGGUUUGUGUUACAUUUUCGUGGCAGAGCAGAGGAAGAGACAGAACAGAGGCAGAGUCAGAGGCAGAGCAACCAAGGGCAAUUUCUUCUUCCAGAGGGCAAUAAUAGCACAGGUCAGGUCUUCUUGUAGGGCGUGGCCGCUCCCUAACAGCUUAUUACCAACCAAGGGGAGGAAGCAACGGAAAGGGCAGUCGAUUCAUUAGUCGCAUUUCCAGUUCCUUCAAUUGAUUCCGAGCCAGCAGUUUCAGUUGCACCACCGCCAGCAUCAGAACAAGCAUAAGCACAAGAGGCUACCAGACUGUGGAAUCAACAUUUGCAUUUGCACGCAUUUGUAGGAAUCUGAAUUUCCACAAGUUUGUCUUCUGAAUGAAAGAAAGCAACCCUGUAAUCGUGGUUUAGGCAUACCGUUUGCUACCGUUUGCUUGUUGCAGAGAUGAAUGUCCUAGGAUGGGAUUAUCCAUUGCAUUUGGGAGUUACUGAAGCUGGUGAAGGUGAACAUGAGCGAAUGAAAUCUGCAAUUGGCAUUGGAACACUGUUAUAGGAUGGUUUGGGUGAUACAAUUCAAGUUUCCCUUACAAAACCUCCAGAAGAGGACAUAGAUCCAUGCAGAAGACUUGCAAAUCUUGGGAUGCAAGCUGCCAAGCUUGAGAAAGGAGUGGCUCCUUUUGAGGAGAAGCACCACCACUAUUUUAAUUUCCAACGGAGAACCAGUCAACUUCCCAUACAGAAGGAAGUGUGUUAUAUUAUUCUUGGUGGCAGAUUGCAAGCUCAUAACCCUUCUUGUUCCAGCCAAAAAAACUGCAGUUUAAUAAGAAGUAUACUAAGCAACUUUUUGAACUAGUUCAUGGUGUACUCAAAACAACAAGAGAUGGAAUUAGGCUUGCAUCAUUUCUUUAGUUAUAUUUUGGUCAAGUAUAUUGACUUGAUAGCAUUGUAACAUGUACAAAUAUAGUGUUUAAUAAAAAAAUUAUUGGAAGGGAAUAGUCAUUGGCCAUGGUUAUUCCUUGAGGUCAUGUUUUCUCAC